rnacentral:rRNA from 1 species
AUGGUGAGGAGCAAAGAGGUGCCCAAGAGGCCCAAGGACCCGCUCAUGACCCCUCCGUCCAAGCCCAGGGGCUUCAGGGACGACGACGGCGGCGGCUUCGGCGGCAGCCUGCCCAGGAACCGCGGCGGCGCGGCUAUGUCCCCGGCGCCGGCCUCCGUGCCCAACUACAUGCGGGCCACCAGCAGCUCCGGCGCCAAGGCCGGGCCCGGGCGGCGCGCGGGGGCGGUGCCCUCGUCGGCGUCGCCCACGACCAGGCGGGGGCCGGCGCGGGCGGUCACGAUGGGGAGGGUGCUGUUCCCGACGCCGGAGGUGCCCGGCAUGGUCCGCGCCACGCCCACGUGCUCCUCCACCAUGAAGGAGGCCAAGUUCCCCGGCGCGCUCGACCUGGCGCCCGGGGCCACCGACGCCCAGGGCCCCGCGGCGAUGCGCGUGUGCCCGUACAACUACUGCUCCCUCAACGGCCACACCCACUCGCCGGCGGUGCCGCUCCGGAGCUUCCUCGCGUCGCGCCGCCGGCUCAUCAAGACGCAGCAGAACAUGAAGCACAAGGGCGUCUCGGCGUUCCGCAAGGGAUCCGGCCACCAGAGGCCGGAGGACAAGAACGGCGGCCCCGUCGUCCGCGCCGCCGUCGCCAAGGCCGCGCCUCUGGUCGACGAGGAGGCGCUCGGCGACUUCUUCGUGGAGGUGUACGCCGGCCCGAGGGUGAGCUCCGACAUGAGCUGCAGCGACAUGUCCCUGGACGAGAUGGACGCCGCGGUCAGGAGGAUGGAGUUCGUCGUCUUCGACCGGUGCGGCGUGGGCGAGGACGACGAGAAGGGCGGCGAUCCUGCCGUUCGCGGUGACAGCCGCGGGAGGCCGGAGGAGGACAGGCUCGGUUUCUGCAGGGACAGCUCGUCGGAGUGCAGCGAUGACGGUGCCUCCGGUCUCAUCUCCGGCAACCUCGUGGAGGAGCUGCCCUGGAUGAGGUACGAGUGCGAUAGCCUGGACGAUGAUGUUUCAGAAGAGCAUGUUCAGGAAGCAGGGGUUUCAGAGGGGCAACAAGGUAACGAUGAAGAAGGCAGAUCCCGCGGAUCGGGCGAUAAUCACGAAGAGGAGGCGGAUGAAGAACAGAAACCGGAAGAAUCGGAGAUCAUCUCCGAUCUGCCCCGUGAAACGGGGAUCAUCGCGGAGGAAGCGGGUGUCGAUUGCAGAUCUCCACUCUGCGAAGACAUCUCAAACACAAUGGAUAAACAGGAGGCUUCCACAGUGCAAGAGACGCAGCAUGAAGACGAUGAGGAGCAUGUCUCGAAUGUUGCCCACAAAAUGGAGGUCGCCGCGGCGCAAUCAUGUAUUGUUUGUGCAGCGGAGGUCUGCAAUGAGCAGGAAGAAGAAGAUCAAAACAGCAUCCUGGGCAAAGUGAUCCAAGGGGGUGCUUCUGAUGGACAGGGCACGUCAGAAGAGAAGCUCUCCAAUGGUGUCGAUGAGCCGGAGAUUCCUGAGCAUGAACUAGACAUCCUGGGCAAAGUGGUCCAAGAGGGUAUUUCUGAUGGACAGGGCACAUCAGAGGAGCAGCUCUCCAAUGGUGUCUGUGAACCGGAGAUUCCUGAGAAUGAAGUAGCAGAAAGAGUGGAAAAUGUCCCUGAAGAGAGCCGGGUGGAUGAGAGUUCAGCAGAUCAAGAGGCAAAGGAUGGUCUGACCAACGUGGAAUCUACCGGCAACUUGGAAGUUACAGAGAAGCAGGACUUGCCGGGUGGUGAAUCUGAAAUGGAGAUUUCUGAGACUGUUCCCAGUGUUGCAUGUGACGAGGAUUUCGUUGAGGAAGAAGUAACCUCCAGAGCUGUUUCAGAAGAAGACACAGUGGAUGUCACAGAAGAUGCCCAGAAGGAAAUUGAGACUACCUCAUGCAAUUUGGAAGAUGCUUCUGAAGAAUCUGGUACUGCCCAAGAAAGCAGCCAGGAAGUUGAUUUCCUAUGUGUUGAUGCUGCUGCGCAAAUGGAACCAGAGCCAGAGGUUACAAAUUGCAAGUUGGAGGAUUCUUCUAAAGAGUCUGGUAAUGCCCAAGAACAGGAUGUUAAGCCUGUAUGUGUUGAUGCUGCUGCUCAAACAGAACCAGAGCCAGAGGUUACAAAUUGUAAGUUGGAAGAUUCUUCUGAAGAGUCUGGUAUUGCCCAGGAAAGCAGCCAAGACGUUAAGCCUGUAUGUGUUGAUGCUGCUGCUCAAAUGGAACCAGAGACUACAACUUGCAACUUGGAGGAUGCUCAAAUGGAACUAGAGACUACAGUCUGCAACUUGGAAGAUGCUUCUGCAGAAGCUGGUAUCACUGGAGAAACUGUUCAUGAUGAUAACUUGGUGUAUGUCGGCGAGGUUGCUCAAGUGCAAUCAGGGGUUGACACAAGCGAGUUGGUAGACGCUUCUGAAGAAUCUGGUGGUAUUGCUCAUGAAGUUGGUGAAGAUGAUAACUCUCCAUAUGUCAGUGAUGAUGCUCAAAGUGAUUCUGGGAUCGCCACAUGGGAAUUGGGAGAAGAAUCUGCUACUGUCCAGGAAGCUGAUCAGGAUCAGAACUGUACAGAUGUCAAUGGUGGUUAUACAAAUGAAUCGACGCUUACCGCUUGUGAACUGGCAGAGGCUUCUGAAGCAUAUGAUAUUACCCAAGAAGCUAUUCAAGAUGACAACAUUUCAGAUGUCAAUGAUGGUGCUCAAAAGGAAUCGGGAAUUAUAGCAUGCGAAUCAGAACAUGCUUGUGAAGAAUCUCAUAUUAUCCAAGAAGGGGGUGAAGAUGUUAACACUGCUUGUGAAGAACCUGAUAUUAUCCAAGAAGGGGGUGAAGAUGAUAAGACUGCUGGUGUCUGCGCUGGUGCUCUAAAAGAACCAGAGAUUAUCGCAUCCGAAUCGGCAGAUGCUUGUGAAGAAGUUUGUCAUACUGAGGAAGCUAAUCUCUUGACAGUUAUCCAGAUACCUGAGCACAACUCUGACUUCUCCGCUACUGACGGUCAUGGGGAGCCCCAGAACCGACCAGCAGAAGACAAUGUUGCAAAAGAAUUUUCCAUUGACGACAUGUGCAAUGUAUUCAGCGGGAUGAACCUCAAAGGCGAUGUAUAUGUUGAUCCUUCCGAGUCCGAUAUUUGUCCGAGAAACAGAAUGAUCAUUGCCAGGAGGAGGAGAACACCUGAAGAAGAUGAAUACAUGCGAGGUUUUAACCCAAGGGCACCGAAUUUUCUUCCUCUGGAAUCGGACCCGGAUGCAGAGAAGGUUGAUCUGAAGCAUCAGACGGCGGAAGACCGCAAGAAUGCCGAAGAGUGGAUGAUCGACUACGCGCUUCGGAGGGCGGUGAAUAAUCUAGGCCCUGCUCGGAAGAAGAAAGUGGAGCUUCUGGUCCAGGCCUUUGAGACUGUACUACCGCAGGAUGAGAAGAAAAGCAUUUCACCUACAAGGCCUGCCCAAGCUUGCAACUGA